rnacentral:rRNA from 1 species
GACGAACGCUGGCGGCGUGCUUAACACAUGCAAGUCGAACGGAAAGGCCCUGCUUUUGUGGGGUGCUCGAGUGGCGAACGGGUGAGUAACACGUGAGUAACCUGCCCCUGACUUUGGGAUAACUUCAGGAAACUGGUGCUAAUACCGGCUAGGAGCUCCUGCUGCAUGGUGGGGGUUGGAAAGUUUCGGCGGUUGGGGAUGGACUCGGGGCUUAUCAGCUUGUUGGUGGGGUAGUGGCUUACCAAGGCUUUGACGGGUAGCCGGCCUGAGAGGGUGACCGGGGACCAGGGGACUGAGGGACGGAGCAGAGUGCUACGGGGGGCAGUGGUGGGGAAUAUUGCACAAUGGGGGGAAGCCUGAUGCAGCAACGCCGGGUGCGGGAUGACGGCCUUCGGGUGGUAAACCGCUUUAGCCUGUGACGAAGCGUGAGUGACGGUAAUGGGUAAAGAAGCACCGGCUAACUACGUG